GAUGAACGCUGGCGGCGUGCCUAAUACAUGCAAGUCGAGCGAACGGACGAGAAGCUUGCUUCUCUGAUGUUAGCGGCGGACGGGUGAGUAACACGUGGAUAACCUACCUAUAAGACUGGGAUAACUUCGGGAAACCGGAGCUAAUACCGGAUGAUAUUUUGAACCGCAUGGUUCAAAAGUGAAAGACGGUCUUGCUGUCACUUAUAGAUGGAUCCGCGCUGCAUUAGUUAGUUGGUAAGGUAACGGCUUACCAAGGCAACGAUGCAUAGCCGACCUGAGAGGGUGAUCGGCCACACUGGAACUGAGACACGGUCCAGACUCCUACGGGAGGCAGCAGUAGGGAAUCUUCCGCGAUGGGCGAAAGCCUGACGGAGCAACGCCGCGUGAGUGAUGAAGGUCUUCGGAUCGUAAAACUCUGUUAUUAGGGAAGAACAUAUGUGUAAGUAACUGUGAACAUCUUGACGGUACCUAAUCAGAAAGCCACGGCUAACUACGUG
rnacentral:rRNA from 1 species